CUCAUCACUUGCUCCUCGAAUUUUUAUAUGUCGCCGUGUGACAUAUAAAAAUCGAGGAGCAAGUGAUGAG
rnacentral:sRNA from 1 species